rnacentral:rRNA from 1 species
AUCUACCUACGGGGCGCAGCAGUGAGGAAUAUUGGUCAAUGGGAGAGAUCCUGAACCAGCCAAGCCGCGUGAGGGAAGACGGCCCUAUGGGUUGUAAACCUCUUUUGUCGGAGAACAAAACCCGGGACGAGUCCCGGACUGCGUGUAUCCGAAGAAAAAGCAUCGGCUAACUACGUGCCAGCAGCCGCGGUAAUACGUAGGGAGCAAGCGUUAUCCGGAUUUACUGGGUGUAAAGGGCGCGUAGGCGGGAUGGCAAGUCAGAUGUGAAAUCCAGGGGCUCAACCCCUGAACUGCAUUUGAAACUG